rnacentral:rRNA from 1 species
ACGAACGCUGGCGGCGUGCUUAACACCUGCAAGUCGAACGGUAAGGCCCCUUCGGGGGUACACGAGUGGCGAACGGGUGAGUAACACGUGAGCAACCUGCCCUUGACUCUGGAAUAACAGUUGGAAACAGCUGCUAAUACUGGAUAUUCAUCGUCUCCUUCCUGGGGGGUGGUGGAAAGCUCCGGCGGUCAGGGAUGGGCUCGCGGCCUAUCAGCUUGUUGGUGAGGUAAUGGCUCACCAAGGCUUCGACGGGUAGCCGGCCUGAGAGGGCGACCGGCCACACUGGGACUGAGAUACGGCCCAGACUCCUACGGGAGGCAGCAGUGGGGAAUAUUGCACAAUGGGCGCAAGCCUGAUGCAGCAACGCCGCGUGCGGGAUGACGGCCUUCGGGUUGUAAACCGCUUUCAGUAGGGACGAAGGGUGACUGACGGUACCUACAGAAGAAGGACCGGCUAACUACGUG